rnacentral:rRNA from 1 species
UACGUAGGGUGCGAGCGUUGUCCGGAAUUAUUGGGCGUAAAGAGCUCGUAGGCGGCCUGUCGCGUCGGAUGUGAAAGCCCGGGGCUCAACCCCGGGUCUGCAUUCGAUACGGGCAGGCUGGAGUGUGGUAGGGGAGAUCGGAAUUCCUGGUGUAGCGGUGAAAUGCGCAGAUAUCAGGAGGAACACCGGUGGCGAAGGCGGAUCUCUGGGCCAUUACUGACGCUCAUGCACGAAAGCGUGGGGAGCAAACAGG